CCUACGGGUGGCAGCAGUGGGGAAUAUUGCGCAAUGGGCGAAAGCCUGACGCAGCGACGCCGCGUGAGGGAUGAAGGUCUUCGGAUCGUAAACCUCUGUCAGCAGGGAAGAACGGUCACUGUGCUAAUCAGCAGUGAAUUGACGGUACCUGCAAAGGAAGCACCGGCUAACUCCGUGCCAGCAGCCGCGGUAAUACGGAGGGUGCGAGCGUUAAUCGGAAUUACUGGGCGUAAAGCGCUCGUAGGCGGGAUUUCAAGUCAAGGGGGAAAUCCACGCGCUCAACGUGGGAACUGCCUUUGAAACGGGCAAACUGGAGUGUGUGAGAGGAUAGUGGAAUUCCAGGGGGAGGAGUGAAAUCCGUAGAUAUCUGGAGGAACAUCAGUGGCGAAGGCGACUAUCUGGCACAUAACUGACGCUGAGGAGCGAAAGCGUGGGUAGCAAACAGGAUUAGAUACCCUAGUAGUC
rnacentral:rRNA from 1 species